rnacentral:piRNA from 1 species
GCUGUUACCUGAGAGAAGAUGCUG